CUAAGGUUAGUUAAAGAUUAUAAUAUCAGUUUUGGGAAUUGAAGUUGUGAGAUGAGUCCCACCUUUGA
rnacentral:tRNA from 1 species